GAUGAAGAACGUAGCGAAAUGCGAUAAGUAGUGUGAAUUGCAGAAUUCAGUGAAUCAUCGAAUCUUUGAACGCACAUUGCGCCCUGUGGUAUUCCGCAGGGCAUGCCUGUUCGAGCGUCAUUGACACCCUCAAGCUCUGCUUGGUCUUGGGCGUUUGUGCCUGCCGUUGCGCAGGGACUCGCCUCAAACUCAUUGGCAGCCUGCCUUUGCCGGUCUUUGCACAGCACAGUCGUGCCAAAGCCGCGGUGAGCAGGCGCUCCACAAGCCCUUUUCAGCUUGACCUCGGAUCAGGUAGGGAUACCCGCUGAACUUAAGCAUAUCAAUAAGCGGAGGA
rnacentral:misc_RNA from 1 species